rnacentral:rRNA from 1 species
AUGGCUCAGGAUGAACGCUAGCUACAGGCUUAACACAUGCAAGUCGAGGGGCAUCAUGGAGUUUGCUUGCAAACUCUGAUGGCGACCGGCGCACGGGUGAGUAACGCGUAUCCAACCUUCCCUAUAGUAGAGGAUAGCCCGGCGAAAGUCGGAUUAAUACUCUAUGUUUUCCGUUGCAGACAUCUAAGAUGGAACAAAGGCUUGCCGCUAUAGGAUGGGGGAUGCGUCUGAUUAGGUAGUCGGCGGGGUAACGGCCCACCGAGCCAUCGAUCAGUAGGGGUUCUGAGAGGAAGGUCCCCCACAUUGGAACUGAGACACGGUCCAAACUCCUACGGGAGGCAGCAGUGAGGAAUAUUGGUCAAUGGGCGAGAGCCUGAACCAGCCAAGUAGCCGUGCAGGACGACGGCCCUAUGGGUUGUAAACUGCUUUUAUGCGGGGAUAAAGUUCACUACGUGUAGUGUUUUGUAGGUACCGCAUGAAUAAGGACCGGCUAAUUCCGUGCCAGCAGCGGC